rnacentral:rRNA from 1 species
GACGAACGCUGGCGGCGUGCUUAACACAUGCAAGUCGAACGAAGUGGCGCACGGGUGAGUAACGCGUAAUCCACCUGCCCUUCAGAGGGGGACAACAGUUGGAAACGACUGCUAAUACCGCAUAGUGAAGGAGGGGAUUGCGUCUGAUUAGCUAGUUGGGUGGGUAACGGCCCCCCAGGGCGAUGAUCAGUAGCCGGUCCGAGGGGAUGAACGGCCACAGUGGGACUGGGUAACGGCCCAGGACCCUAAGGGAGGCAGCAGUGGGGAAACGUCCGAAAUGGACGAAAGUCUGACGGAGCAACGCCGCGUGAGUGAUGACGGCCUUCGGGUUGUAAAGCUCUGAUAAUCGGGACGCGGUACCGGAAGAGGAAGCCACGGCUAACUACGUGCCAGCAGCCGCGGUAAUUC